AUGCCACGAACGACAUCUCUCACGUGCUUGAAGAUUUUGAAGAAGAAACCGACCUCAACAUGGUAUUUUGGCAAUGUUGGCUCUUGGGCUGCCCAAUUGAUCACUGAAGCUGGUGGCAAGGUGGUCUCCAUCAAAGAUGUCACAGGGGCUGUCAAGAACUCCAAUGGCAUCGACAUAGCCAAGCUGAUGAAGCACUCGGCAGAGAACCGCGGGAUCAAGGGCUCCGACAAAAGGCGACGCCGCCGACCCGACCUCGCUGCUCACGGAAGAGUGCGACGUGCUCAUCCCGGCAGCUCUGGGAGGAGUCAUAAACAAGGACAAUGUUGA
rnacentral:rRNA from 1 species